rnacentral:rRNA from 1 species
AUUGAACGCUGGCGGCAUGCCUAACACAUGCAAGUCGAGCGGCGAGUCGGACGAGUGAUUAAUGCCUAGGAAUCUGCCUGGUCGUGAGCGACAACUUCCGGAAACGGGCCCUAAUACCACAUCCUAUAAGAGAGGCCUAGGUGGUAUUAGCUAGGUGGUGGGGUAAUGGAUUACCAAGGCGACGAUGCGUAACUGGUCUGAGAGGAUGAUCAGUCACACUGGAACUGAGACACGGUCCAGACUCCUACGGGAGGCAGCAGUGGGGAAGAUUGGACAAUGGGCGAAAGCCUGAUCCAGCCAUGCCGCGUGUGUGAAGAAGGUCUUCGGAUUGUAAAGCACUUUAAGUUGGGAAGCGGUACCAACAGAAAAAGCACCGGCUAACUACGUGCCAGCAGCCGCGGUAAUAC